rnacentral:rRNA from 1 species
AUUGAACGCUGGCGGCAUGCUUUACACAUGCAAGUCGAACGGCAGCGCGGGCUUUGGCCUGGCGGCGAGUGGCGAACGGGUGAGUAAUGCAUCUGAACGUGCCCAGUAGUGGGGGAUAGCCCGGCGAAAGCCGGAUUAAUGCCGCAUACGACCUGAGGGUGAAAGCGGGGGACCGAAAGGCCUCGCGCUAUUGGAGCGGCCGAUGUCGGAGUAGCUAGUUGGUGGGGUAAAGGCUUACCAAGGCGACGAUGCGUAGCUGGUCUGAGAGGACGACCAGCCACACUGGGGCUGAGACACGGCCCAGACUCCUACGGGAGGCAGCAGUGGGGAAUUUUGGACAAUGGGGGCAACCCUGAUCCAGCCAUGCCGCGUGCGGGAAGAAGGCCUUCGGGUUGUAAACCGCUUUUGUUCGGGAAGAAAUCCUGUGGGCUAAUACCCCGGGGGGAUGACGGUACCGGAAGAAUAAGCACCGGCUAACUACGUG